rnacentral:lncRNA from 1 species
CCACUCGAUCGUCGUCAUCGCCACCAACACCACAUGCACGACAACAGUUUGCAACCACCACUGUCGACCAUGCCAGAUUCAUCAUCAUACCACCUUUCCAACACCAAAGUUCACCACUAACAUCGCUGCAAGCAAAAAACACCUAAAAGCCAACAAAAUCAUAUUGUCUCCGCCAACACUACCACCAUAUGAACUGCUUCCCCAGUGCCACCAUCACCGUCAAUAACUCACCACAACCAUCGACACUACCACCA